GCUGUACCCUCUCUCUUCUUC
rnacentral:miRNA from 3 species